rnacentral:tRNA from 1 species
GGAAGGUGAACCGAUGAGCGGCGUCGGUCCCGUCUCGAAAACGGGUAGGGCGUUCAUUCGCCUGGGGUUCGAGCCCCCCGCCUUCCU